UCUCAUGUUCUUAGGGUUUCAAAUUUCGUUGUCCACAAGCUGGCUAAUAUUCUUAGUGGUGGGAUGUUGCCACCGAUUUUUGUAGCUGGGCUAAUCUUCUGAACGCAUGAUCUGUAAUUCUCUUUCAGAAGACCCAAAAAAAAAGGUCUUGGCACGUCGACUUCCGGCCGCGGUAUGGCCGGCGACGAGGAAGCGAAGCCGGAGACGCGUUGGUUUCGACGGUGCUCUCCCCAGGUGCAGCUCGACAAGCUCAGGGUAUUCCCUAACUCUGUUGCUCCUUGCGUCGUGUUAAUUUCUCUAAUUCGUGCCAAGAAUCAUCCCAUGACAUCUCCUCGUGAAGACUUGUGUGAAAUUGGAAGGAUCUACUUGCUAGGCGGAUCUCAAGAUAGCCCUAUGUUUUUAGUUCCGUCAAGACUUCAAUUUUGUUCUCUGAUUAGCACAUGUAGUAGGAAUUGCACAAGUAGCGUUUGCAACUCAAAGCACAGGCAAAGGAGAGAACAAAAUUGAAAGGGAGCACACAGAUGAGUGUAAAGACAUGUGAGGAGACACCUGAUGUGGAGAAUACAGAUACUUCGGUCACUACUGUUGGAGGCAGUUCAAGUUCUCCGACAUCAAAAGAAAAAAAGAAAAAGGCUUGCUUGACAUGUUCUCCUAUAAUUUUAGAAUUUCGGAUUAACUCUUUCCUUCUCUUGCAUUACACAUUCCACCUUCUACAAAGCACAUUAUAGUGUAGGGUAUUGCUGUUUCACUUGUUAUUGCUGUUUACUUGCAUUUGUAUGUGGCCCAAUGCCCAUAAGUUUUCAUUCCUUAUUUGAGAUGUAGGGUAUUUCUCCAGUUGUCUUGUUUUAUGUAUUAAAGAUUCCUAAUUUUUUUUACAAAUCUGUAA